rnacentral:rRNA from 1 species
UACAGAGGUCUCAAGCGUUGUUCGGAUUCAUUGGGCGUAAAGGGUGCGUAGGUGGCGGGGUAAGUCAGGUGUGAAAUUUCGGAGCUUAACUCCGAAACUGCAUUUGAUACUGCCUUGCUUGAGGACUGGAGAGGAGACUGGAAUUCCUGGUGUAGCGGUGAAAUGCGCAGAUAUCGGAAGGAACACCAGUGGCGAAAGCGGCUUCCUGGUCCAGCACCGACGUUCAGGCACGAAAGCGUGGGGAGCAAACAGG